AAACUAAGCAUAUCAAUAAGCGGAGGAAAAGAAACCAACAGGGAUUGCCCUAGUAACGGCGAGUGAAGCGGCAACAGCUCAAAUUUGAAAUCUGGCUCUUUCAGAGUCCGAGUUGUAAUUUGCAGAGGGCGCUUUGGCUUUGGCAGCGGUCCAAGUUCCUUGGAACAGGACGUCACAGAGGGUGAGAAUCCCGUACGUGGUCGCUAGCUAUUGCCGUGUAAAGCCCCUUCGACGAGUCGAGUUGUUUGGGAAUGCAGCUCUAAAUGGGAGGUAAAUUUCUUCUAAAGCUAAAUAUUGGCCAGAGACCGAUAGCGCACAAGUAGAGUGAUCGAAAGAUGAAAAGCACUUUGGAAAGAGAGUCAAACAGCACGUGAAAUUGUUGAAAGGGAAGCGCUUGCAGCCAGACUUGCUUGCAGUUGCUCAUCCGGGCUUUUGCCCGGUGCACUCUUCUGUAGGCAGGCCAGCAUCAGUUUGGGCGGUGGGAUAAAGGUCUCUGACACGUUCCUUCCUUCGGGUUGGCCAUAUAGGGGAGACGACAUACCACCAGCCUGGACUGAGGUCCGCGCAUCUGCUAGGAUGCUGGCGUAAUGGCUGUAAGCGGCCCGUCUUGAAACACGGACCAAGGAGUCUAACAUCUAUGCGAGUGUUUGGGUGUCAAGCCCGAACGCGUAAUGAAAGUGAACGGAGGUGGGAACCCGCAAGGGCGCACCAUCGACCGAUCCUGAAGUUUACGGAAGGAUUUGAGUAAGAGCAUGGCUGUUGGGACCCGAAAGAUGGUGAACUAUGCUUGAAUAGGGUGAAGCCAGAGGAAACUCUGGUGGAGGCUCGCAGCGGUUCUGACGUGCAAAUCGAUCGUCAAAUUUGGGCAUAGGGGCGAAAGACUAAUCGAACUAUCUAGUAGCUGGUUCCUGCCGAGUUUCCCCUCAGGAAAAAG
rnacentral:rRNA from 1 species